GCUGCUGGAGAAGUCACACCUCCUGCUGUGCCUUCUGGCUUUUGAUUCCUUGGGCACCUCACAUCAGCUGCUGCUCCUGCCACUUAAUGAUAAGAAUAUCAUUGUUAGCUUAUCUCUUUGUCAGAGGAAGACACUCCAGCACAGGCUUCUUAUUCAAAGCCAGCCCAGCGGUUACAGACGUAACACCAGAGGGUGGACCAGCAAGGGGAGAACACCACAGGUGGAGGAGGGAUGCUGAGCCAUGGAAUGAGAAGGUGUGUGAAAACAGUCUUUAAGUGUCCAAGGGACACAGCAGAUGUUCUUCAAGUCCAUUAAACUCCAUGAACCAAAUUCUGUUUCUCCUGUGCUGUCAAUGGCCUGGAACAGAAAGUAAAGCAGUUUGGACGGUCCAAGUGGCUGUGACCACCCUGACCCCCGAAGACACAACAGAAACCAACCUCCAGUGAAAUAAGCAGUAAUUGCACUACCAGCCAGCUUCCAAGGGAUGGAUGCCAAUAAUGAGGAAGAAAGGAUGCUGAAAGACUGCUCUUGGGGUGAAGAACCAGCUGGUGGAGAUCAAAGCUGUUAAAGAGUAUGAGGUUUAAAAAAAUCUUGCACAGAUGAAGCAACAGUGGUUUAUAACAAUCACAAGAAUGCUCUCCUUGAAAUGAUGGAAGUUCAUCUUUUGUUGGAGAAUGUAGACAAAUUAAUAAGGGAAAGCAUAUACUGCACCAGAAGAAUAAUGGUAAAAUCUGAAACAAGAUAAAAGCACAAUGUGAGAUUUACCAAAGUAACUGCUUGUCACAUCUGCAAUUUGUUAUCUUCCUGUUUUAGCUUCAUUUCAUGAGAGAAAAAGCUAUUUAAUGAUUCAAGAAGGGGAAAGGGUCAAUAGCAGAACUGUUUUCUUCAUAUGACCUGAAGCUGUAGGGCUGGAAUAAGGUAGAGGUUGAGUCUUUGAACUGAAUAUUUUUGAAUAUUUUAGAGCAAAAACCUAUCAGAAGGAUGGGGAGGAAGGUAACAGUCUAUGAGAUAAUGCAGACAGUUGGACGCUGUGUUUAUUGUAAGGCUGGAGGCAAAGGACUGAGUGCAAUCAAUGAGGCUGAGAAACAUAAGUGUAUAAUUACAAUUGCUGUAAAUAUAAUUACAGAAAAAAAUAAAAAAGAUAAAACUCAACUGACUAGAUCUUGGAUCCAAUUCCAAAAUGAGCAGUACAUUCCUUCUGAGAGUCAUUUUUAGAUGGAUGUAAAGAAAAGAUACAUGAGCAGAAGUGAUUAAGUAAAAAAUUAUUUGGAAAAAUGUGUCUGUGGGAAAGAAGUGGUUGGUGGUUUUUUAAAUGUUCUUAUGCAAGAAAAAGAGAAUAACUAACUUGAAGUGAAUUAUUAAAGAACAGUAGAAAAUGGAAAAUGUUAACUUUAUAUUGCUAAAUUUGUGAUAUUUACAAGUAUAACUUCAAUUAAUCUUGUUGUAGUCACUCCAUUUAUAGCCCGUGGAUGAAGUGGACUUUUCUAGGACACAAUUCCUUUCAUCCUAAUGAAGACAUCUAAAUUAAGCCAGAUGAAUUGCACUCAAGUAGUGAUUCUGUCAUCCCAAUGAGUACAAAGAAAAUUUAAAUGCCUGCCUCAUAUGCAGAUAUCUACAUUUGUAGGCAUUUCAAGUCGGGUGAUAUGAAUCUCAUUCUACGACUUUAUUUAGGGUGGCACCAGUCACAAGUAAAGCAAAGGCAUUAGAUAAGAAAGGAUUCUUAAAGUUAGAUAGCCAGACCCACAUUCAAGCAAUGGGAUGAGACUGUCAGAUAACAAUAUCAAACAUCACCAAGUCAGAAGAAUUUCUCCCUAAAAUAUGGACCUGAAGCAGA